rfam:Camelus ferus unplaced genomic scaffold scaffold445, whole genome shotgun sequence.
GGGUAUAUAGGUCAGUGGUAGAGUGCAUGCCUAGCAUGCAUUUAAGUCCUGGGUUCAAUCUCAGUACCUCCA